GCCAGAUCAGAAAUCAGAGCCAAUUAAUGUACAACAGGUUUGAUUAACUUUGUUUACUAUCUUGUAUAUUCAGACAACAUAAACUUUAAACUAAUAUAGAAUUUGCAUGUGUUGUAGUCUAAACCAUGUAAAAUUACAGAAAAAAAAAACAUUUUUGUAUUUUGGAAAAUUUCUGUAGUUUAUUAUGCCUGUUAUUUUACAGUAUUUCUCCGGCACCCCAGCUGCCGUAAUUUUUUACGGAUUUUUUUUUACAGUUCAUCUAAACUGAGACCAAGACCAGAGUAUGUUGUAACCCUAACCAAAAUCAAGGCAGGACCAGACAGAGACAAGACCUGACCAUCACCAAAUAAAUAAAUAAAUAAACAAGAUAUUUGCAAUCAGUAGAAGAGAUUGGCCAUAUAUUACAGAAAUAGAUCUGCUUUAAAAAAUAAAAAACUAAGUGUUGCUAAACCAACAAAACACCACCAAAGUUUGGUACAAUAUAUUUAUUUGUGUUAUCUCCAAAGGCAACUAAUAUUUACUGCUUCUGCAUGUGCACGUGUGUUUUGGGAUGCAUUGUGGAUCACCUCCAGACGCGCUGAGGUUUAUCAAGAGCAGCUCUUCCGUGGAUCCCAGUUUAUCCGCCACUGCCGCGAUGACCUCUCUACCCGUGGCCAGCACAGGAACACGGAUGGUGGUAUGGUGGCCCUGCAGGGUAGCCCAGCGCAGGGCCAGACUGAGCACCCGUCUCUUGGUGGCCACGGCGUAGUCUAGACGCUCCUGCUCUGAGCCUUGAGACGCCUGAGAGUGGAAGUGGCAGUUGUCUUCUCUCAGGACGAUGGAAGCAGCGCGAGGGGCGUCGUUCACCAGGGCCAGUUUGCCAAAAUCAUCUCCUUCAUGCAGUGUGCAUACUACACCCUAAAUACAGACAGGAGGGGGGGCGCUCUUGGUCACUCACGUUUUCCUGAGGAUCAUUCGCAUGUGUGCAUCAGGACCGAUCUGAGAGAGGAAGAGGAGAGUCUCCUGCAGCUCCUCCUCAGCUUCGCGUUUCUCAUCGUCGCUAGGCAACACCGCAUCCUCCUCCUCAUCAUCAAGGAAACGGUAAAAGAGGACCCCUUCCUCCAGAAGCACCUGCCACAUUCCCACAGCAUGACCUCGACUGUGAACACAUGAGCUCUGCUGAAGUAGCCAGUCCACCAGCUCAGUGCCGACACAACACUGCCUGUAAACACAAACGCAAAUCGUGUGUUAUCCAUCAGACCCCAAAAUAUAAAGUCAAUAAAUACAUCAAUGAUAUUUCACAUGUAUGCAAGCGUGACCUACACAGUUACAAAAAUCCAAAAAUAAAAUUGUAUGCGUAAAACCAGAACUACACUUCUAGCUAUUCAUUAAAUAAUUUAGCAGACACUUUUAUUAUAUAAGCAUUUAACAUUUUGUCAAUGAACUAAACAAUA